CUGGAAUUCCGCCCCCUUGUGAUUCGCGGCCUCCCGCUCUGCGCUCAGUCUUUGGCCCGCGCCUCUGUCAGUCAAGUGGACUCUAAGAAAGGAUUGGCCCCUAGCGAUCAGCCCGCUGCGGUGUUCCACCUGAUUGGGACACUGGUCGCUCCAUCUCCAAACUCUACUCCUGUCCUUGAUCCUCACCUGUUAAAGGAGCAAAGAGGAAGUGAGACCCCUGCGUUUCCCCAGCCGGUUCCUCACCCAGCAUGACCUUCUGCGACCUAGUUUGACCUCAGCCAUUCCACUGAGACUGCCCCUGCCAAAGGAUAUCCAGAUAGCAUCUCAAGAUGCCUAAAAGUCUCAUGCUACUACACAUCGGAAGGUGGACGGACUUCCCCCCAGGAGGAGGUGGAAAUAGGUGAAAGCUCUCCGACCCCCGACCCCCAGACUGCCUAGUUCCUGCAGGAGGCUCUCUUCCAGCGGACUCCCCCAUAGCAUCGCCACACACCAAGGGCAGGAGUGUGCACUCACCAGCGGAGCGAUGGUGGAAACAGGAUGUUAUCUUUCUUAUCUCCAUUUUACAAAAGAGAAAGCAGGUCCAGAGUGAUCUAUGGCUCGUCUAGUCACAAAUUGGCAGUCAACUGGAGACCACGUCCCUCCUCCCUUGCUGGCAAAACAUCCUCAUUAUAGUAACGCGUCAAGGAUCUCUGUAUCCCACAACGUCCUAGUGAUCUUGGUAUUGCAGUUACUCUGCCAAAUGAAAAUAAUGUGGUUGUGAUGGUGCAUUUUUGAAAAGCUCCAUAGAAAAAUGAUAACAGAUGUACCAAAUAAUAAUAUGGGAGCCACUGAAUCACAGGAGGGGACGGUUCUCCACAGUAACAUCAAAUGAAAAUGAGCAGAACUAUAGUGAGGUAUUUUGGAAAACAAAACAACAAAAAACCAAAUGACAACCUCAGCACUUCGAGAAUGAUGAAAAGAAGAAGAAAUUAUGCACAAGUGCAAAAACCUAGGCAUUACUGUGUAGUCAAUCACCAAAAUGACAGCGGUGCCCUACUGAGGACAAUUAUUAAGAAGCACAUCACCCGGCUUUCCCUAUGUUGGCCAUUUGAUUAUGCUUGUUUCCAUUCACGCAUGUGGACUUUGGACAUUAUUUUAAAUUAUGCCAUAAGGAAAGCCAAACAUGAUUUUUGUUUUAUUCAGAAAACAAAAUGCUUUUGCAGCAUCACUGACUAAAGUAAUAACUGUUAUUUCAAGGCACUUUUCAAAAGCAUGAAGCGCUACAUUUGCUGGGAAGCAAGAAUACCUAAGGUCAUUUGAUUCAACAUGAACUAAUCCACAGGGAGUUUCACAGCUAACAAAGGAAGGGCCCAGUUCAACAUUCUAAUAUGAGACUGGUUGUAUUUCUCCCUCUUUCCCAAAUCUAAUCUUUUUGAUUGUCCUUCUUCAGUGGUUGUUAGAUUCCAUCUCCUCUGUGGUCUGGUUCUCAACAUCUUUCACCUUUGGAAAGAAAUAGUGCCCAAAUAAUCUCCCUGCUCCAAACCAUCCUGUUCACUACUGUCAAGAGUCUCAUCUUGAAGCCAAGACCCCAUCUUGUCACCUUCUUCCUCAAGAACCUCUGCCUCUCAUCCUGCUUCCUAUUGUUCUUUUCCCUACCAAUAUCUCAUUUACAACUGCUGAGUCUUAACAAGUUAGGUGUGCUGGAGAUAUCACCAGAGAUAGAUUAAAAGAGAUCUGAGUUUGUGGAAGAUUAUAUUUUCUAGUGAUGGCCACAUCAAUAUCUCCCACCUCCCAUUCUCUUCUGCAGUGUGACCUUACUGCUCCUCCCCAUUAAGAGAAGGAAUCUAUUUCUCCUCCUUCUUGAGUCUGGGCAGGUCCUGUGACUACCUUGACAAAAAAAAACACCAGAAAACAAAGAACCCCAAUAACAUCAACAACAUCAACAACAACAAGAAAACCAGUAGAAGCUAUGCUAUGCCAGCUCCAGACAUCGUCCUUAACUAGCAUUGGCAGCACCGUACAAGAAGUGUGAUCACCCUGAUACUACCAAGCAUGUGAGAAAUCCACACUCGGAGAGGUCCUGUAGGAUAAAAAGUGAUGUGGAGCUGGAAAGACUCCAAGAAGCACUGAGGCGGCAGACAGGUAGAUGAGGAAACCACCUUGGAAGUUGAAUCCUCACACCAUCUGCCCCAGCUGAUGCUCCAUGGGUCAGAAACAAACCACAUGGCCAAACCCUUCUGGAAUUCCUGAUCCACAAGGAGGGGUGGGGGGCAGAUACAACAGUGGUUCCACACCACUAAAUUUUGGGGUGUUUUGUUACACAGCAAUAAACAACCAAAAUAGGCUUCUUGUUCCAUUUCUUUGAGUAAUCCAGUGACUGCAGAAGCUCUUU
ensembl:lncRNA